GACGAACGCUGGCGGCGUGCUUAACACAUGCAAGUCGAACGGAAAGGCCCUGCUUUUGUGGGGUGCUCGAGUGGCGAACGGGUGAGUAACACGUGAGUAACCUGCCCUUGACUUUGGGAUAACUUCAGGAAACUGGGGCUAAUACCGGAUAGGAGCUCCUGCUGCAUGGUGGGGGUUGGAAAGUUUCGGCGGUUGGGGAUGGACUCGCGGCUUAUCAGCUUGUUGGUGGGGUAGUGGCUUACCAAGGCUUUGACGGGUAGCCGGCCUGAGAGGGUGACCGGCCACAUAGGGACUGAGAUACGGCCCAGACCCCUACGGGGGGGAGCAGGGGGGAAUAUUGCACAAUGGGCGGAAGCCUGAUGCAGCAACGCCGCGUGCGGGAAGACGGCCUUCGGGUUGUAAACCGCUUUCGCCUGUGACGAAGCGUGAGUGACGGUAAUGGGUAAAGAAGCACCGGCGAAUUACGG
rnacentral:rRNA from 1 species